UCCCAUUUUGAUUAAUGUCACUUAAAUUGGAAAAACUCCCUAUCCCCUCGGGAAAAAAAGGAGGUGUGACAUUAAUAAUAAUGGGAUUAGUUAUACUAAAAUUAUUUCUCAUCAACUGAUUGGUUUGCUGUACUAAAGAUAGCAUGCAUUGCACAAUUUAUUUGUUUACUAAAAUACCCUCCACAUUCUUUAGAAAGUAUUUGGAAAAGAUUUUGAAAGAGUAGUUAUGUCUUUAUAUAUGCUUAUUUAUAUAUUAAAAAUUAUAGUAUUGCUAAUGCCAUAGUUUUCUAUUUUUAAGAAUAAUACUGAAUAGGAUGUAUGUUGUAUUAAGUUAUUGAAAAAUACUAUCAAAUAGGGAUUAAUAAAUACUAUCAAAAUUAGUAUAUACAUUAUUUUUUCCAAUACAUCCUACCAAACGAUCCCUUAAUUAAUGACCUAAUUUAAGUUACCAAAUAUAUCAACAAUCAAAUUAAUAAAAUUCCAUUUCAAGUCGCUUUGGAUCCCAUACUCUACAAUAUAUUCUCUAUAUUAUUGUACCAAAGCUUGAAUCAGGAAUCUUGUUUACAAAAAUAUAGUAAGAUUUAAAGCAUAUAAUUCAAUUAAUGCACAAUGCCUUACUAAAUCAUAAAGAUUAAGUUAUUAAACGUGCGCAUACUGUAGAGGAGGAAAAAAAAGAACACAAACGCACAAUCAGUCUCAUGCAUGAAACAUACGUACAUACAUAUUGACACAAGCACGAUUAUUAGGAAAGAAAAACACAUACUAGACACACACGCACAAAGCAAAACACUACUUGUUCUUCCGCUUAAAGUCAAUAACACCUUUAUGCUCCUUCUCCAGCUUUCCAACCCUCUUGUAGUAACCCUUCUCGUUGCUGGACUUGACAUCUAUUGUGCCGCUCCAAUCUGGCUUAUGCUCAAGAAAAACAUUCAGGUCGUCUACUGCAUGCAUGCCAUCAACAGUACGAUGGUAUCUGUGAUCUGCCACCUCUUUUGCUUACUUUGUUGCAGCGCCCUCGGCUAUGCUCUUUUAUUUCUCUCUAUCUAAGUUAAGACUCUUGUGCUCGAGAAAAAGUGUAGAGUCCAUGUUGGUCUCCUCUGCCUUCAAAGUAGAGUUAGUUUAAAGAGGGAAAGGGGAAGAGUUAGUUGGUACCAGGUUAGAGACAAAGAAAGAAAGAGAAAUGCAAUUAUCCAUACUAAGUAAUUGUCCAUUUUUGCCUUAGCUUUUCCUUUUCCUUUUCCGCUGCCAUCUUUUGAUUUGUUUGCAAUUCCCUGAUCCCUUUAUUUAUAGCUCUUCCACUUCCCUAUCCUCCAUAAGAGAACUAAAUUCUAGCUUCCUUCGUUGAAUUGCAAAAAAGAUAAAAGAAAAAUAGAAGGACAAGCUCGCAACAGCGGAAAAGGAAAAGUAUGGAUAACUAUAUUUUCUUUAUUUCUAACAUGUUACCAACCAACUCUUCUCCUUCCCUCUUUAAACUCUCAUUUGCAGGUAACGGAGGAAGAAACCCAUGCAGAGGUCGUGAUUGGACAAAGGCAGAGAACUAUUAUAGACAACAUUCAUCCAGCUAACGCCGUAGACUUCUUUCUAGCAAAUAAGAACAAUUGGCGUGGAACUGUAGUGAUGUUGGAAAGUAACGAGAAAAAGUACGACAUCAAGGUCAGUGGCCUCAAUGCAAAGUAUGAAGAUGUUACCUUUGAGUAGUAGCAUUAGAGGGGGAGUAGUAAGGUGUUAUUGAUUUUAAGCGGAAGAACAAGACCGAGCAAAAAACUACUUGUUCUUCCGCUUGAAGUCAAUAACACCUUACUACUCCCCCUCUAAUGCUACUACUCAAAGGUAAUAUCUUCAUACUUUGCUUUGAGACCACUGAUCUUGAUGUCAUAGUUUUUCUUGUUACUUUCCAACACCAAUACAAUUUCGCGCCAAUUGUUCUUAUUUGCUAAAAUUAAGUCCACGGCGUUAGCUGCAUGAAUGUUGUCUAUAAUAAUUCUCUUCCUUUGUCUAAUCACGACCUCUGCAUGGGUUUCUUCCUCCGUUACCUGCAAAUGAGAGUUUAAAGAGGGAAGGAGAAGAGUUAGUUGGUAACAUGUUAGAAAUAAAGAAAAUAUAGUUAUCCAUACUUUUCCUUUUCCGCUCUUGCGAGCUUGUCCUUCCAUUUUUCUUUUAUCUUUUUUGCAAUUCAACGAAGAAAGCUAGAAUUUAGUUCUCUUAUGGAGGAUAGGGAAGUAGAAGAGCUAUAAAUAGAGGGAUCAGAGAAUCGCAAACAAAUCAAAAGAUGACAGCAGCGGAAAAGGAAAAGGAAAAGCUAAGGCAAAAAUGGACGAUUACUUGGCAGAGGAGACCAACGUGGACUCUACACUUUUUCUCGAGCACAAGAGUCUUGACUUAGAUAGAGAGAAACAAAAGAGCAUAGCCGAGGGCGCUGAAACAAAGUAAGCAAAAGAGGUGGCAGAUCACAGAUACCAUCGUACUGUUGAUGGUAUACAUGCAGUAGACGACCUAAAUAUUUCUCUUGAGCAUAAGCCAGAUUGGAGUGGCACAAUAGAUGUCAAGUCCAGCAACGAGAAAGGUUACUACAAGAGGGUUGGGAAGCUGGAGAAGGAGCAUAAAGGUGUUAUUGACUUUAAGCGGAAGAACAAGUAGUGUUUUGCUUUGUGCGUGUGUGUCUAGUAUGUGUUUUUCUUUCCUAAUAAUUGUGCUUGUGUCAGUAUGUAUGUAUGUACGUAUGUUUCAUGCAUGAGAUUGAUUGUGCGUUUGUGUUCCUUUUUUUCCUCCUCUAUAGUAUGCGCACGUUUAAUAACUUAAUCUUUAUGAUUUAGCAAGGCACUGUGCAUUAAUUGAA